rnacentral:rRNA from 1 species
AUUGAACGCUGGCGGCAGGCUUAACACAUGCAAGUCGAACGGUAGCAGGAGAAAGCUUGCUUUCUUGCUGACGAGUGGCGGACGGGUGAGUAAUGCUUGGGAAUCUGGCUUAUGGAGGGGGAUAACGACGGGAAACUGUCGCUAAUACCGCGUAUUAUCGGAAGAUGAAAGUGCGGGACUGAGAGGCCGCAUGCCAUAGGAUGAGCCCAAGUGGGAUUAGGUAGUUGGUGGGGUAAAUGCCUACCAAGCCUGCGAUCUCUAGCUGGUCUGAGAGGAUGACCAGCCACACUGGAACUGAGACACGGUCCAGACUCCUACGGGAGGCAGCAGUGGGGAAUAUUGCGCAAUGGGGGGAACCCUGACGCAGCCAUGCCGCGUGAAUGAAGAAGGCCUUCGGGUUGUAAAGUUCUUUCGGUAUUGAGGAAGGUUGAUGUGUUAAUAGCACAUCAAAUUGACGUUAAAUACAGAAGAAGCACCGGCUAACUCCGUGCCAGCAGCCGCGGUAAUACGGAGGGUGCGAGCGUUAAUCGGAAUAACUGGGCGUAAAGGGCACGCAGGCGGUUAUUUAAGUGAGGUGUGAAAGCCCCGGGCUUAACCUGGGAAUUGCAUUUCAGACUGGGUAACUAGAGUACUUUAGGGAGGGGUAGAAUUCCACGUGUAGCGGUGAAAUGCGUAGAGAUGUGGAGGAAUACCGAAGGCGAAGGCAGCCCCUUGGGAAUGUACUGACGCUCAUGUGCGAAAGCGUGGGGAGCAAACAGG